rnacentral:snRNA from 1 species
UUUUAUUUUGCAUUAAGAAUCCCCUAAAAUUGGAAUGACAGAAGAUUAGCAUGGGCCCUGUGUAAGGAUGACAUAUAAAUUCACAAAGUGUUUCUUAUUUUU